rnacentral:tRNA from 1 species
GGACGCGUAGCUCAGCGGGAGAGCACUCCCUUGACAUGGGAGGGGUCACAGGUUCAAUCCCUGUCGCGUCCACCA